rnacentral:rRNA from 1 species
GACGAACCGUGCGAACGUUGUUCGGAAUCACUGGGCUUAAAGGCGCGUAGGCGGACUGCCAAGUCCGGGGUGAAAUCCUCCGGCUUAACCGGAGAAUUGCCUGGGAUACUGGCGGUCUUGAGGGAGGUAGGGGCACGCGGAACUUCCGGUGGAGCGGUGAAAUGCGUUGAUAUCGGAAGGAACGCCGGUGGCGAAAGCGGCGUGCUGGCCCUCUUCUGACGCUGAGGCGCGAAAGCCAGGGGA